ACGCUGGCGGCGUGCCUAAUACAUGCAAGUCGAACGCACAGCGAAAGGUGCUUGCACCUUUCAAGUGAGUGGCGAACGGGUGAGUAACACGUGGACAACCUGCCUCAAGGCUGGGGAUAACAUUUGGAAACAGAUGCUAAUACCGAAUAAAACUUAGUGUCGCAUGACACAAAGUUAAAAGGCGCUUCGGCGUCACCUAGAGAUGGAUCCGCGGUGCAUUAGUUAGUUGGUGGGGUAAAGGCCUACCAAGACAAUGAUGCAUAGCCGAGUUGAGAGACUGAUCGGCCACAUUGGGACUGAGACACGGCCCAAACUCCUACGGGAGGCUGCAGUAGGGAAUCUUCCACAAUGGGCGAAAGCCUGAUGGAGCAACGCCGCGUGUGUGAUGAAGGCUUUCGGGUCGUAAAGCACUGUUGUAUGGGAAGAACAGCUAGAAUAGGAAAUGAUUUUAGUUUGACGGUACCAUACCAGAAAGGGACGGCUAAAUACGUGCCAGCAGCCGCGGUAAUACGUAUGUCCCGAGCGUUAUCCGGAUUUAUUGGGCGUAAAGCGAGCGCAGACGGUUUAUUAAGUCUGAUGUGAAAGCCCGGAGCUCAACUUCGGAAUGGCAUUGGAAACUGGUUAACUUGAGUGCAGUAGAGGUAAGUGGAACUCCAUGUGUAGCGGUGGAAUGCGUAGAUAUAUGGAAGAACACCAGUGGCGAAGGCGGCUUACUGGACUGCAACUGACGUUGAGGCUCGAAAGUGUGGGUAGCAAACAGGAUUAGAUACCCUGGUAGUCCACACCGUAAACGAUGAACACUAGGUGUUAGGAGGUUUCCGCCUCUUAGUGCCGAAGCUAACGCAUUAAGUGUUCCGCCUGGGGAGUACGACCGCAAGGUUGAAACUCAAAGGAAUUGACGGGGACCCGCACAAGCGGUGGAGCAUGUGGUUUAAUUCGAAGCAACGCGAAGAACCUUACCAGGUCUUGACAUCCUUUGAAGCUUUUAGAGAUAGAAGUGUUCUCUUCGGAGACAAAGUGACAGGUGGUGCAUGGUCGUCGUCAGCUCGUGUCGUGAGAUGUUGGGUUAAGUCCCGCAACGAGCGCAACCCUUAUUGUUAGUUGCCAGCAUUCAGAUGGGCACUCUAGCGAGACUGCCGGUGACAAACCGGAGGAAGGCGGGGACGACGUCAGAUCAUCAUGCCCCUUAUGACCUGGGCUACACACGUGCUACAAUGGCGUAUACAACGAGUUGCCAACCCGCGAGGGUGAGCUAAUCUCUUAAAGUACGUCUCAGUUCGGAUUGUAGUCUGCAACUCGACUACAUGAAGUCGGAAUCGCUAGUAAUCGCGGAUCAGCACGCCGCGGUGAAUACGUUCCCGGGUCUUGUACACACCGCCCGUCACACCAUGGGAGUUUGUAAUGCCCAAAGCCGGUGGCCUAACCUUUUAGGAAGGAGCCGUCUAAGGCAGGACAGAUGACUGGGGU
rnacentral:rRNA from 1 species